rnacentral:rRNA from 1 species
ACGUAGGGUGCAAGCGUUGUCCGGAUUCAUUGGGCGUAAAGGGCUAGUAGGCGGCUUAGCAAGUCGGGUGUGAAAUUUCCAGGCUUAACCUGGAACCGCCAUCCGAUACUGCUAUGGCUAGAGUCUGGUAGGGGACCACGGAAUACCUGGUGUAGCGGUGAAAUGCGCAGAUAUCAGGUGGAACACCGAUGGCGAAGGCAGUGGUCUGGGCCGGCACUGACGCUGAAUAGCGAAAGCGUGGGUAGCGAACAGGA